GGGUGUGUAGCUCAGUGGUAGAGCACCUGUCUAGCAUGCACGGGACCCUGGGUUCCAACCCCCAUACUUG
rnacentral:tRNA from 1 species